AAAUUGAAGAGUUUGAUCAUGGCUCAGAUUGAACGCUGGCGGCAGGCCUAACACAUGCAAGUCGAACGGUAACAGGAAGCAGCUUGCUGCUUUGCUGACGAGUGGCGGACGGGUGAGUAAUGUCUGGGAAACUGCCUGAUGGAGGGGGAUAACUACUGGAAACGGUGGCUAAUACCGCAUAACGUCGCAAGACCAAAGAGGGGGACCUUCGGGCCUCUUGCCAUCAGAUGUGCCCAG
rnacentral:rRNA from 7 species